rnacentral:pre_miRNA from 1 species
UUAGCUCAUAUUUGUAUGGAACGGGAUCGUUUGCGUACGUUUGCCGCUAGGGGCGCUGUUCCAACUGCAUACAAAAUUGGGUUA